CCGAACCAGUUGUCAGUGGCAACAUAUAGGAAUCGUGUACAUUUCUUCGUUUCUUCUUUGCUGUUUUCAGUGAGUGUUUUGUUUUCUCUUUGUCCUUGAUCUCGACGGUGUUGUCGUGCUCAUUACCUUACUGAGACGUCUCUUGUGACUGUAGCCAGUGUCACGGAGGAUUUUAUUGGCGUGACGAGGUAGAUCGCCGAGAUCGAGCGUGAAAAACGCUCUGCAUUAGUAGCUCCUGUAGAAUGUCUUCUGGGAUGGCGUGUCCAUGGUCAACAAAGCCAAGGUGCAAGACAGCAUAAGAGAUCGUGUAAACGAUGUGAACUCCAAUAGAUAAUCUGGACAAAUAAAUUAUAUUGUAACUGGAGAGUGCAAUCGUGCUUGGGACCCAUCCCAAUGUCAUCACAUGGCUGUGGUGACUAGUGUAUACUUGGGAGAGUUUUUCCUCAACUGAGACGGAGUGUAGGUGGAUGGAUUAUGAGAAAUGCGAAGAUGUGGAGUUCAAGGCUAGAUGCACUUCACAUUCGGCGUGCGAUCUCGGCGUCUGGGACCUGAUAACGUCU